rnacentral:rRNA from 1 species
GAUGAACGCUGGCGGCGUGCCUAAUACAUGCAAGUCGAGCGAACAGACGAGGAGCUUGCUCCUCUGACGUUAGCGGCGGACGGGUGAGUAACACGUGGAUAACCUACCUAUAAGACGGGGAUAACUUCGGGAAACCGGAGCUAAUACCGGAGAAUAUAUUGAACCGCAUGGUUCAAUAGUGAAAGACGGUUUUGCUGUCACUUAUAGAUGGAUCCGCGCCGCAUUGGCUAGUUGGUAAGGUAACGGCUUACCAAGGCAACGAUGCGUAGCCGACCUGAGAGGGUGAUCGGCCACACUGGAACUGAGACACGGUCCAGACGCCUACGGGAGGCAGCAGUAGGGAAUCUUCCGCAAUGGUCGAAAGCCUGACGGAGCAACGCCGCGUGAGUGAUGAAGGUCUUCGGAUCGUAAAACUCUGUUAUUAGGGAAGAACAAAUGUGUAAGUAACUAUGCACGUCUUGACGGUACCUAAUCAGAAAGCCACGGCUAACUACGUG